ensembl:lncRNA
GAGGAGGGUCACAGUAAGUGGCAGUAUCCUUUAUUUCUGCUUUUUCCCCUUUCGGGUUUGUCUGAAAGCACUGGUAACUAUGUGCAAGCUCAAGGUGGUCCAGCAUAUUUAUUGUGUACAUUAUAUCUCUGACUGCCAUGCUUUUUGUGAUGAACUCUGCAUGUGCUCGAAGAUGCAAGUAUAGCAAAGCAACUUGAAUUAACAUGUAUGAUGCUAAUGAUUGCUAAUACAUGUGUAGGAGGGACUGCAUGCAGCUUCUCCAAGUGGAUGGCAAAGCACAGGUCUUGCAGCCUGGAAAAAGGAAGGCUGAAAACGUCAAGGAAAAUCUUAUUUCUGGCUUACUUAAUGGCAAAUGGUUGUUAUAACUUCAGCCUGUCUCAGAGUAAUUACUAUUACUUGGAUGCUGGAUGCUUAAAAGCUGGGGUUACAGGCAUCCCCAGGAUGGCCCCUGUGUCUGGGCUGUUGGGAAGACUGCAGACAACAGAGUGGGCGUCAUUGCAGGCUCUGAGGGCCACAAGCAGCAUACAGGGGCUGUAACAGGAGUGACCAUUUCUAAAAGAUAAUUUGCAAAAUCUAUCAAUACAUUACUUCAAAGUAAGCAGUAAAUAUAACUGGUAUAUUCUGCUGCAGUUGCAUAAAGAUGUCUGCCUCUAGGAAGUAACGUAAAAAUCAGUGCUGUGUCAUGUCCGUUACCUUAACAGUAUCCAGUACCUACUUCCUUGCAAACAGGAAGUUUCCAUACCAUCUUUCUUCAGUGCAAGUAGAUGUAAAUGGCAAAUUUAACCCAGUACAUUCUCGUUACUACAAUAGAAUCAACUCACCAGAAGAACUGACUGGAAAUAUUUAUAAACCAAACAGGGAUAUUAGCUUUGGGUGGUGACAAACUGUGAUCUAUAAGCAGCAGUUUCUCUUCCUUGACUAUAAAGGGAGCCUGAGGGACCCAGCUCAGGUGUAGAUGUCUACAGUAUGGGCAGUGGCUUUUAAAUAUAUGAAUCGAUCCUUAACUGCCUGGAGAGGAGAGAAUCCUUGCAGUUCACCACAGUUAAUGUUCUGAUAAUGUCUGAUUGAGUAUGCAUUAUGACAGAUAGCAAGGACAGACGUGGUUUCUGUUUUGGACUUUACAAAUAGCAAACAGGACUGCUGUAAGCCUGCUGAAGCAAGUUGUGGUUCACAAGGACUACACAUGUAUAACUUGCUUGAAAGCAUGAUGAGCUGUUAGACUGGUAGCCAUGUGGCUGUGAAACAAGACAAGUUCCUAUCACUUAGCAACUAGUAUGCAGUAGGUGACUGGAAAGCUAAUAAAGCAGUCUUUAUUUUAUACCACUGUUUUCUUCUAUGUUAGGAUAUCUACUCGUGUCAGUGUCUGCAUUGGAUGUAGGGGAAUUGACCACAACUGCAUUUGCAUACUGGUUCCACCAAAUGGGUAUGUUAUAUUCUCUGUAUCACAGCUCCAGCUAUACCACAUAAUGUAUAUAACUUUUCAAAAGUAGAAAACUGGGAUUUACUGAAGGAAGCCUUUCUCCCAGAACAGAUGCUGGAGAAAAUCCUAUGUCUGAUGCAUUAAUCCCAGUAGGCAGCUGAGCCCCACACAGCUUGCUCACUACCCCACACUGGGAUGGGAAUAGAGAAGAGAAUCAAAAGGGCAAAAGUGAGAAAGACUGUGAGUUGAGAUAAAGACAGCUUAAUAAAUAAAACGGUGCGAGGGGGUGGAGAAUAACAUUAAAAGAAAAGAGACAGAAAAUGAAGUGAUACUGAAAGCUGUCACCACCACCUGACUGAUAGCCAGCCAGUUCCUGAACAAUGGUCUCCUGGAAGAAUUCCCCACACCAAGUUCUUAUUGCUGAGCGAGGUGUUACAUGGUGUGGGAUAUCCCUUUUGUCAGCUGGGAUCAGCUGUCCUGGCUGUGUCCCCACACAGCCUCAUGCCCAGCAUACUUGCUGCGGGGGAGAGGGGGCAGCAGAGAAGGCCUUGACGCUCUGCAAGCAGUACUCAGCAAUAGCUAGAGCAUCCUUGUGUUAUCAGCACUGUUUUGGUCACAGAUCCAUAACACAGCUGCAGUGGAGAAAAUUAACUCCAUCCCAGCCAGACCCAGUAUGCUAUGUCUUAAGGUACCAAACAUAAAACAUGACAAAUAUAUCUGAAGCCACAACAAAGACAGUGAGCGUCUGGCAUCUGCAUAAGUUUGUAAUACCUCCCUUUUCUUCUGGUAAAUUGUUUGGAGCACAGCAGUAAUUCAUGUGUGUUAGUGCCCCAGCCAUUAGAAGAUCAGAUGGACCAAGAGGACAAGCAUAAAUUACUGCUAUUAUAAAGUGGUUGGGUCCCUGGAUAGCUUUGUGCAGGACCAGGGAUGUGUGUAUGUACUUCUGAAUUGCAGCCAGGUUCAUUUAAACACCUCUGUGAGAAGUCUCAGUGACUGCAGCACAGUACUGUGGGGUGAUGCAUGUCCAGUUUGGCCCCAGACUAUCAGUAGCUUUUCCAUGUUGGUGGGACAGGAGCUAUGGGCUAAAAGUCUCCAGGUGUCAAAUGGUAAGCAGGAGUAAGACUGGGAAGAGAAAGAAAUUCAAAGGACGUCAGAGCUGAGCUGGGAAUAGGGGGAAAAAAUCUUUUUUUACUUAAUCUUGGAUACUGAGGUUUGAACAGUUACGUUCUCCUAUCCCCUUCUCCUAUUUGGCUAGGAGAUGGAAUGACUGGGAGCUGCUGAUGUGGAGAGCUGCUGAAACAUAUGAACUCUGGGUCUAACAUAAAAGAGUCACGGUGAUGGGGUGCUCUGCCAAGGGCUACCUUUGUGCUUAUUGAGUGCCAGCAAUGACCCUGCAAUUGCUAUGAACUACAGCCAAGUUCUCCAGCAUAUGAAAAACAAACAAGAAUCUCUACACUGCAUUAGUGGCUUAUCUGGAAAUCUGUAGGUGGAAAUAUUCUCUGAAGUGCUAAAAUGUAACUUUAAAGGCCUGCCUUGAGCAGCUCAGUUCUGAGGAAUGUGGCUGUGGUUUUCCUGAAUUCAGAUUUGUCUGGCAGGAUGCUUAUGAUUUUUCACCUUGUACCACUGCAAAAUUGUGUCCACCAUAUGAUGAUGGUGUGUAUCAGAGACACAGCAAUAGCAUACUUUGCUUCAUGGUAGAAGGAGGACAAACAAGGAGUGCCCUUUUCUCUUUCCACAAAGAAAGGCAGGAGGAACAAUAACUGUUGAUAAGGGUGUCUUAGUUUCCAAGCAAAUGAUAUACUAUCUGUUUUUAUUUGUUAUGAAAACUAGCUAGGCUUUCAAUGGAUGAGGAAGACACCUGGAUAAUCAACAUGUCUCUCAUUUUCCUUAUGUGCUUUGUUUGGGUGAUGUUAGCAAGCCACAGCUUCUCCUUUGGACUGCUGGAGGAGGUUACCUUAGAGAGACUGAGCUGCUCUUGAAACAGAAUAAAAAUAAUAGAAUCACAGAAUAUCCCAAGUUUGAAGAGGCUCACGGGGAUCAUCAGGUCCAGUUCCCAGCUCUGCACAGGACCACGCAAAAUUCAAACCCUAUGUCUGAGAGCACUGUCUGUAUGCUCCUUGGCACAGCAGCUUGGGGCUGUGACCACUGCCCUGGGGAGCCUGUUCUAUGCCCACUGCCCUCCGGUGAAGAACUUCUUCCUACCAGCAACCUGACCCUCCCCUGCUGCAGCUCCAUGCUGUUAUCUCAGGUUCUGUUGCUGUCACCAGAGAGCAGAGCUCAGCGCUGCCCCUCCACUCCCCUCAUGAGGAGCUGUAGGCCACAACAAGGCCCCCCCUCAGCCUCCUCUGUUCUGGGCUGAGCAAACCAAGGGACCUCAGGUGCUCCUCACGUCUUCCCUUCUAGAACCUUCACCAUCUUUGUAGCCUUCCUUUAGAUGCUCUGUAAUAGUUUUAAGUCCUUCUAAUAUUGUGGCACUCCACAAUCAAAUCCUGAGUUGCUCCAAAUCAGUUCCUGAGCACUAUCCACUCUUAUGUCCAAUGAGAUGUAAGCGAAUGAGAGCGCUGAGGAAUAUUUUCAGUUAAAAGAAUAUUGGGACAGUGACACAUUAGUACAUUAAGGUGUAGAGAUGCACUUUCUCAGGUAUAAUUGUAUGUGGUGCUGAGGGAAAGGCAUGGGUCACCUGCCAAAUGCCUCUUUACAUCAGCGGUCUCCAUUCUCAAGAAUAAAACCUUUAGAGGGAAAGAAAACAAUGUAUGCCUUAGGGAGCUACUGAGGAGGAACCUAACUUCUGGACCAUGUUUGUUGUCAUCUGCGGUAUCUCUACACUCCAGCUUGGCUGUUGUGUUUCUCAGGGGAAUGUGAAGAGCAAAUGAAGAAAUUGGCAUGCAUGCGGUUUGAUGAAGUUAGAGGUAGGGCUCUGCCAGAAGGAAAUAACAGAAGCAAGUGUGUCUGCUGCAAUGAAGGAGCUAGCUGCUUGCUUGACAACAGAAGAACCCAUAGACAAGACCUCUCUUGUGAAAGAGUUUUAUUGUGAAAUAUUAUCACACUUCCAGUUAAGCAGCACAAACCAUCUUGUACUGUGUCCAAGUGAUCAGAUUUUUUGUGGGUGGAAAGGUAUGGAGGGAAGAGGGGCUAGUGAUGGGAUUAACCAAGAUAAAAAAAGGCUGUCUUUCAUUGUAUCUUUUUAUACGAACAUAUAUAUUUAUACAAAUAUUUACAUUUAGCAGAAUGUUAAAGUAGCUGACAAUGGAAUUCAGUGAACAACAAAGCUGUUCAGCUUAACUUGGUCACGGAAUGCUGAAACAUGCCUGCUUUGUUCCAGGCAUCUGGCAUGGUCCUGUACUCUUGCUGUAUCUUAGGAGUAGUCUUCUGGUGAAAAUUUCCCCUCCAAUUUUUAUGUAUGUAUUUACCCAAACUAAAUGAAUCCAAAUAAAUUCU